rnacentral:rRNA from 1 species
UACGGAAGGCAGCAGUGGGGAAUAUUGCACAAUGGGCGAAAGCCUGAUGCAGCUAUGCCGCGUGUAUGAAGAAGGCCUUAGGGUUGUAAAGUACUUUCAUCGGGGAGGAAAAAACAAAACUAAUAAUUUUAUUUCUUGACGUUACCCGAAAAAGAAGCACCGGCUAACUCCGUGCCAGCAGCCGCGGUAAUACGGAGGGUGCUAGCGUUAAUCAGAAUUACUGGGCGUAAAGAGCACGUAGGUGGUUUUUUUAAGUCAGAUGUGAAAUCCCUGGGCUUAACCUGGAACUGCAUUUUGAAACUGAAAUACUAGAGUAUCGUAGAGGGAGGUAGAAUUCUAGGUGUAGCGGUGAAAUGCGUAGAUAUCUGGAGGAAUACCUGUGGCGAAAGCGGCCUCCUAAACGAAUACUGACACUGAGGUGCGAAAGCGUGGGGAGCAAACGAGGGAUUAGAUA